ACCUGGGUGGCUCAGUCAGUUAAGCGUCUGACUUUGGCUCAGGUCAUGAUCUCACAGUCUGUGAGUUCAAGCCUCACAUCAGGCU
rnacentral:tRNA from 1 species